UGUAUCUACUUCUAAAUGGCUGUGGCCAG
rnacentral:sRNA from 1 species